rnacentral:lncRNA from 13 species
AUGUGCCUGGGAAGCUGCUCCGAAACUGUCCUGGCCCCACUCCCCUCUAAACCUUUGACUCUGGGAAAGGCUCGUUCCAAAUGGACAGAACCUCCUUCGACUUUCACCUCGAAACUAGAAAUUGAAGUUUCAAUUUGCUGUUACAGCACCUGCAACUGGGAGUCUCCCCAUCCUAGAUCCCUCCCUCCAAGGGGCAGGAGGCAGCCCCAAGGUGCUCAGCGAGUGGAAGGUGUGGCUCUCAGACACCAAGGUCUUCCCAUGGGCCUGCCGAGAGGAGGAUGUGUUCCGGAGACACAGAGCAGGGUGCUUUGCCAGCUGAGGAUGCAAACUAGGGGGAAAUGAGCUGAAGCGACUCCAGGUCUCCGUCUUCUGUGCACCAGGUGCGACCUGCCUCCGUGGCAACCAGGACACACAGUUCUCCUAGCUGAAAGACAGAACACCUUCGCCACUGCACAAGGCACCCCCAAACACCUACUGCACAUCUCUGGGUUCCCUUUCCCUCUUCUUCUUGUUCUUCACCCCUGUUCCCAAGAGAUCAGUACAUUUCCUCCAAACUUCAGACCAAAACUCUCUCUUCUCUGGGAACCUUCCCUGCCCCCUCUUCAAAGUAGAUUCUUGGCACCACCCUGGACCCCAGCUUUUAACAGCUGCCAUCCUCCCCAAGGUCAAAGUGCUAAUUAGCUACUAAAAGUAACUCCAGUCCAUACUCAAAGCUCAGGAAAACGCCCCCUACCCCAGCACAUGCAUGCAUGCACGCACACACACCCCAUUUGGGAGACCUAGCUUCUCUUCUGAGAAGGCUCACUCUAGUUUGGAGGCUGUAUCUUCUGCAGUGUGAGUUGGUCCUACCCUCACCCUCACCCCCACCCUGACUCCCAGGCCCAGUCCAGACCCCCAAAAUCUCAGGGCCAACUAGGGAUAGAACUAGCUUUCAGAACUGGCUUUCAGUCUCCAAUGCUCUUCUCAGCAGGGACUCCUGUCCUCUCAUGGAAACUUGCCAUCCUGUGUCCCAUUGCCGAAGAUCACCUCACAGCUGAAAAAGGAGCCUGUGAUAAGCGUUCGGGAUUGAGCAGAUCGUACGUAUUUGCAAUGCUACUGGAGAUGGAGGGAGGAAAUGCCAUAGCCCAGUGGAAUGAACAGCAUGGGUGAUGUGGCUCAUGGCAGAGAGACGGGCGGGGGAGGGCAGGGGCCAAGUCGUUCCUUCACCACCCUCACUCCUUACGCCUGUGCCCAGAGCCAGCCCUGCCCUGGAGGCGAGGAGAAAGGCCCAGAGCUUUGCCCCUGAUUCCCCCAGCUCCGGCCCACACCACCUGCCAUCCAUGCACGCAAAGCCAGGCCUCUG